rnacentral:rRNA from 1 species
CGGGUGAGUAACACGUGGAUAAUCUUCCCUCUGGCGGGGGAUAACCUUCCGAAAGGAGGGCUAAUACCGCAUAAGACCACGACCUCGAAAGAGGAUGUGGUUAAAGCAGGCCUCUAUACUUAAGCUUGCACCAGAGGAUGAGUCCGCGGCCCAUCAGCUAGUUGGUAGGGUAAUGGCCUACCAAGGCUAAGACGGGUAGCUGGUCUGAGAGGAUGAUCAGCCACUCUGGGACUG